rnacentral:ncRNA from 2 species
GCGCGUGUUCGCGACUGGCGCGCCGAGGGUGGGAUCAACCACUGGGGAGCGGGAGCCGGAGAGCACCGCGCGCCUGGGUGCCCCGG